AGAACACAGGUGCUGCAUGGCUGUCGUCAGCUCGUGUCGUGAGAUGUUGGGUUAAGUCCCGCAACGAGCGCAACCCUUGUCACUAGUUGCCAUCAUUUGGUUGGGCACUCUAGUGAGACUGCCGGUGACAAGCCGGAGGAAGGUGGGGAUGACGUCAAGUCCUCAUGGCCCUUAUGGGUAGGGCUUCACACGUCAUACAAUGGUCGGUACAGAGGGUUGCCAACCCGCGAGGGGGAGCUAAUCCCACAAAGCCGAUCGUAGUCCGGAUCGCAGUCUGCAACUCGACUGCGUGAAGUCGGAAUCGCUAGUAAUCGUGGAUCAGCAUGUCACGGUGAAUACGUUCCCGGGUCUU
rnacentral:rRNA from 1 species